AAACAAGAUUGGGGAGAUGAGAAAAGAAUAUACAAAUUAUUUACAAUUUUGUUGUUUUAAUUUGAAAACAAUGUCAAAGUUUGCACAAAAUGAGUUUGGCUUGGGUUAGAGUGGAGAGAAGAAGAGAAGGGCUAGUCCUAAACAUGCAAAGAUAAGAGAAGAGAUAAAAACCCUUGGAGUUCUUUUUCUUGAGAUCAUCAAGAUGAUUCAAGAUACUCCUUUCCUUUGGACUUAGAAAAUACUCAAGCAACCAAAACAAAUAUUCAUUCAAGC
rnacentral:lncRNA from 1 species